rnacentral:lncRNA from 1 species
ACGAAAUGACACAGAAAACUAUACUUUGGGUUCCAUUGGAUGCUUUUAUGCCCAUGUUUUCCUCAGAGAAGAGAAGCCUUUCCUCUGGAAUAGGAAUCCGUGUUUUCCUCAGUUCUAAACUGGUGUAGAGUAGUGGUAAACUGGUGAGCGUGCCCACUGUCACACAGUCCGGCCAUCACUCAACUGCUGAUCUCCCAGGCUCCGGGCCUCCUUUCCUCGCAAAUCGCAUCAACUCCCAAAGCGCUCCACGAUCGGUCGGUCGGGCAGAGGCAGCUCGUCGGCCUGUUGAAAGAAAGUUGGGAUAGAAAUCGUUUCAGUCGUAGUAUUGUAUCUUCUGUUGUUGUAAUCUAAUCCUACGAUAGAUUGCAACAAACGAACCUAGAAUGUCUCAUCGGCAAUUGCCACACUAGCGGUUGUUGCUAGCUAUAUAGAGCAAGGGGCGGCCUCUACAGAGAUUCAACGCUUCCAGAACACAUCUGCCUUUACACAGCCAGAGCCCCGCGUCCAGUUCCCUCCCCCGUUUCCCGUGCACAAGAUGCAGCCAGGCGGCGCCCAGCCCGUCUCCCAGGCAGACGCGGUCGACAUCCCCGGCCGCCCGGACUACGUCGACUCGUACGUGCAGGGAAACCGCCCCAUCCCCGCGACGGCGGUCUACGCGGUCACCCCGGAACACGAGCGCAGCACCACCCGGCGGGAGACCGCCGUGGUGUACAUGCCCGCGGCGCCCCCGGAGAUGAUGUACUUCGCCCGGUGCAUCGCCCACGCCUACAUCACCCCGGCGGACGCGCCGUGCAAGGCGCACCCGGCGCCCUUCAUCCGCGCGGUCAUCGGCGCCGUGCUCCCGGCCCUGCUGUACGAGCUCCACCCGCCCGGCCACGGCGCCGACAGGAAGGUGCGGUUCCGGUGCCCCGAGGACCGGGAGGCCGCCAUGGCGCGGCAGCCGUUCGCGCUGGACGGCGCCACCGUCAAGCUUGUGCGCGAGGGGGAGAGCAGCAACGUCCGGCGCAUCCGGCUGGAGACCCUCGCCCACGUCGCGCUGCACGGCUACCCCAGGGAGCAGCGGAGCGUGGAGGAGAUCCGCGGUAACUGCAACAGCUUCGGGCACCUGAUCGAGGUCGACCCGGCCUGCUUCGCCGCGCCCGACCUGUCCCCGGUCCGCGCCGUCAUCCGACUCCAGCACGCCCGGGAGAUCCCGCGCGAGGUCCGGAUCAGGUGGGGCGGCUGGUGGCUCCACGUCGUGCCGGUACAGAUCCUCAGGGUCUGGGACUGGUCCGAGUCCCUCGACGCCAACGGAGAGUACGUGCCCAUCUACGGCCCCGCCGCGGUGGUGCCUCCCUAGCCUGCCGGUCUCAUGUUCGUCUGGGUCUCAACCAGGAGGCUAGCUUGUGGUGUGUUGUGGCUGCGAUGACAGCAAGUGGUUGAUUCAGUAGCCGAGUUUUAGGGGGGCGUUUGGAUACCAGGGCUAAAUUUUAGUCCUCACAUUGGAUGUUCGGAUAUUAGGAGGACUAAACAUAAGCUAAUUACAAAACUAACUACAGAACUCCUAGGCUAAAUCGCGAGAGGAAUCUAUUAAAUCUAAUUAAUCCAGCUAAUGAAUGGUUACUGUAGCACCACAUUGUCAAAUCAUGGACUAAUUAGGCUUAAUAGAUGCGUCUCGCGAUUUAGCAUAGAGGUUAUGUAAUUAGUUUUGUAAUUAGUCUAGGUUUAAUACUCCUAAUUAGUAUCCAAACAUUCGAUGUGACGGGGACUAAAAUUUAAUCCCCUCCUCCCAAACACCCCCUUAGCUAGAUAAUCGCCCUGUUAGUUUCGCCUAAUCGCCUUAGCGACUAGCAUGCGUUAGUAAUGUCGCUGGUACAAGUAUAGCGGCUGAUGCAGCUUUACUGAAUAGCUUGCAUUGUGUGCUGUCUCGGUUGUGCAUUUGGUGAUGCUCUUAAAGCAUAACUUCUUGUUCUUGUCUGAGAGUUAGGAUGGAGGCUACUUUUGUAAUCAUCUUUCUGGUGUCGAAUGAAAUGGUGGUGUGCUACCAUGAAACAUCUGUUGGCUUGUAAAACUGAUUUGUUCAAGAACUUGCCUGUUGCACUGUUGAACUGGCAUGAACACGUACAGGCGUGCUUGUUGCACGAGCAGCCAUCGAUCCAUUACAUGAGGUCGGUGAAUCAGUGGUCUUUUUAAAAAAACCAAGUCUUUUAAUCCUGAAAAUUAUCAGCUGAUCGAACGGCGGCCGCUUCAAUAGUCCCGUCCCAUUUUACCCUUGAUCAUGCUUACGUCGCAACUCGCAAGGGUUGAGGGAGCUGCCAUGCCCAGUCGGACGUGACUCCCCUCACGUACCGCGUACUCUUCUGAUUCCCUGAUACGAUUGCACGCCGAUUCGGCCAUGCCCUGUUGCACACCGAUUCGAUCAGGCGCCCAUUGCCCUGUUGCGUGUUGCACGUCAACUGCCACUCUGCUAGCCCGUCGCCCCGUCUCGUGUAUAGGGGUAGCAUGCUGUCGCAUUCGAACUCCAAGAGUCUUAAAAAAACUCCUCCAAAACUAUUUAUUAGGAGGUUUUCUACUAAAAAUUUUUUCUUCCAAAAUUAUGUUAUCCCACAAUACAUCCCUAAUAAUAAACUCCUCGAUACUUCAAAACUGACCCCGCCAGUCACGUGGACCUGAAAGUCAGCAGUCAAGGUAGGAGCUCUCAGCUACGAGGUGAUGCCGACCACCUCGGCAAGCACAGUAGCCUCUCCGCCGACGACACGGCCGCCUCCCGUGCGCGCCGCAGGAUCUCGCCGCGCGCUUCUCCCGCGAGCUCAGCUCCUCGCCCACCUGGAGCUGGAGAAGCAGACCGUCGCUCUUCCCGGGCGAUUUGUCAUGUGCGAUGCAGCAGACAGGGUGGGACGCUCUCGAGCGGUGCGUCGGGAGUGGGGACGAUGACAGCUCUGAGCGUGCGCAGCGGGGGCGACAGAACUCCGAGCAGCUCCGACGGAAAAGGGGCUCCGCGCGCCGUCCACCGUCCGUCGGAGGUCUGCGACGCAGUGGAGGGGUGGUCCCGAAUGGCGUGCCUCAACGGCAGGCUGCCAAAGCGACGGCAAUCGGUAGCGCGGGCGCACGCAGCCCUGCCGGAGGCGCGCGGCCGGGGUCGCGGCCACUACGGUCAGCGCAAUGUUGCCGCAUGGAAGAUGCCAACGCGCUCACCUGCCUCCAAGACGCGCGGCUCCAGUCGGACGGCGACUGGUCCGGCGCAGUCAAAGGCGCUCGAAAUAGGCCACCGGGACAAUGGCGCCGGGGCCUCCGCGUCGGGCUCGCGUCGUCCUUCCUGUCCGCCCCGUCCGCAUCGUCGAAGCCGAGGAUCUCGAUGGACGGUCUCUAGCGCGCCAUGUCCGACCUCGCACUGGAGCUUGCCAGGAACAGGAAGGCCGCCAACGCGCCAAGAAGCAGCUGCCGGCUAUCACAAUUCACGGAGGGGGUGGAGGUCGCAUGGUGCGAGUGCUGCGAGCAUAUGGAUUAUUAAUGCAGGAUUGUGCUUCCGAGCUCUGGUGAUUAUUUUUGUUUGGUCGGCCACUUCCAAGAUCUCCUCCGUAUUACUUAGAUGUCGAUUUUGCAAGUUGCUCACAAGUCACAAGGCUCACGCUAGCUAAGCCCACAUGCUUACCGUAUGCGCUUUUCACAAUCUUCUAUCGUAUGCACUUUUCAGUUUUCAUAGGCAGUCCGUCGAGCACAUAGAGUGCAUCUGCCAACGAGGCCAAGGCGACAGAACAUGCAAAUUGAACGCACCGCCCACACACAAAUGAGCAGUCGAAUAGCUGACGACAAAGAAGGAGGCGAGCCUUUCACGUCAAACAAGGAAGGGAAACGACAUUAAGGGUUGAACACUGGAGCAAAAAAGUGAGGAUUUCAUCGAGGAAGCUCACCGACGGUGAAGAAAACAGUCGCCGAAGUUCACCGAGGUUGAGGAAGGGGGAGGCGAGGAGGAGCUUUUGUGGUCCAUUUCUUGCUCCGAGUGGUAGAAUGGCGAGAGGAGAGAGAGCGCGAUCCGUUCUAUGCAUUCAAUUAAUGCUCAAGUUUGUGGAGGAUUAGCUCAAGACGGUGGUGUGGUUCACGCUCCACGCGGAGACGAUGACCGGGGAGGACGGGAGAGAA